rnacentral:rRNA from 1 species
UGGGGAAUAUUGGACAAUGGGGGCAACCCUGAUCCAGCAAUGCCGCGUGUGUGAAGAAGGUCUUCGGAUUGUAAAGCACUUUCGACGGGGACGAUGAUGACGGUACCCGUAGAAGAAGCCCCGGCUAACUUCGUGCCAGCAGCCGCGGUAAUACGAAGGGGGCUAGCGUUGCUCGGAAUGACUGGGCGUAAAGGGCGUGUAGGCGGUUUACACAGUCAGAUGUGAAAUCCCCGGGCUUAACCUGGGAGCUGCAUUUGAUACGUGUAGACUAGAGUGUGAGAGAGGGUUGUGGAAUUCCCAGUGUAGAGGUGAAAUUCGUAGAUAUUGGGAAGAACACCGGUGGCGAAGGCGGCAACCUGGCUCAUGACUGACGCUGAGGCGCGAAAGCGUGGGGAGCAAACAGGAUUAGAUACCCUGGUAGUCCACGCUGUAAACGAUGUGUGCUAGAUGUUGGGUAACUUUGUUAUUCAGUGUCGCAGUUAACGCGUUAAGCGCACCGCCUGGGGAGUACGGCCGCAAGGUUGAA